rnacentral:rRNA from 1 species
UACAGAGGUCCCAAGCGUUGUUCGGAUUCACUGGGCGUAAAGGGUGCGUAGGUGGUGAGGUAAGUCGGAUGUGAAAGCUCGGAGCUCAACUCCGAAAUGGCAUUGGAAACUACCUUGCUCGAGGGUUGGAGGGGGGACUGGAAUGCUUGGUGUAGCAGUGAAAUGCGUAGAUAUCAAGCGGAACACCAGUGGCGAAGGCGAGUCCCUGGACAACUCCUGACACUGAGGCACGAAAGCCUAGGGGAGCAAACAGG